rnacentral:rRNA from 1 species
AACCGGGAUUGCCCUAGUAACGGCGAGUGAAGCGGCAAGAGCUCAAAUUUGAAAGCUGGCUCCUUCGGGGUCCGCAUUGUAAUUUGCAGAGGAUGCUUCGGGAGCGGUCCCCAUCUAAGUGCCCUGGAACGGGCCGUCAUAGAGGGUGAGAAUCCCGUCUGGGAUGGGGUGCCCGCGCCCGUGUGAAGCUCCUUCGACGAGUCGAGUUGUUUGGGAAUGCAGCUCUAAUUGGGUGGUAAAUUUCAUCUAAAGCUAAAUAUUGGCCGGAGACCGAUAGCGCACAAGUAGAGUGAUCGAAAGAUGAAAAGCACUUUGAAAAGAGAGUUAAACAGCACGUGAAAUUGUUGAAAGGGAAGCGCUUGCGAUCAGACUCGCCCGCGGGGUUCAGCCGGCAUUCGUGCCGGUGUACUUCCCCGUGGGCGGGCCAGCGUCGGUUUGGGCGGCCGGUCAAAGGCCCCUGGAAUGUAACGCCUCUCGGGGCGUCUUAUAGCCAGGGGUGCCAUGCGGCCUGCCCGGACCGAGGAACGCGCUUCGGCUCGGACGCUGGCAUAAUGGUCGUAAGCGACCCGUCUUGAAACACGGACCAAGGAGUCUAACAUCUACGCGAGUGUUCGGGUGUCAAACCCGUGCGCGCAGUGAAAGCGAACGGAGGUGGGAACCCCCCCGGGGUGCACCAUCGACCGAUCCUGAUGUCUUCGGAUGGAUUUGAGUAAGAGCGUAGCUGUUGGGACCCGAAAGAUGGUGAACUAUGCCUGAAUAGGGCGAAGCCAGAGGAAACUCUGGUGGAGGCUCGCAGCGGUUCUGACGUGCAAAUCGAUCGUCAAAUUUGGGUAUAGGGGCGAAAGACUA